GCACCUCCAUCCACUCCAUCCUGAGGUGGUGACAGACCCUGUGCUGCUUGUGCACCUGCUCCUGAACUGCCCGCCAAGAUGUCCUGCCAGCAGAACCAGCAGCAGUGCCAGCCCCCUCCCAAGUGCACCCCCAAGUGCCCUCCCAAGUGCCCCACCCCAAAGUGCCCCCCAAAGUGUCCCCCCAAGUGCCCUCCAGUCUCUUCCUGCUGCAGUGUCAGCUCUGGGUGUGGGAGCUGCUGCAGCUCUGGAGGUGGUGGCUGCUGUGGCCACAGCUCUGGGGGUGGUGGCUGCUGCCUGAGCCACCACAAGCCCCACAGGUCCCAUCGCCUCAGACACAGGAGGUCUGACUGCUGCAGCCAGCCCUCUGGGGGCUCCAGCUGCUGUGGAGGUGGCUCUAGCUGCUGUGGAGGUGGCUCCAGCUGCUGUGGAGGAGACAGUGGUCAGUCCUCUGGAGGCUGCUGCUGCUGAAGUGGACCCUGAGCCAAGAAGAGCUGACUUGGAGACAGCAGAUUGCCACUCACUUUCUCCUCCUGGUCCUCCUGUUCCUCCUGCUGGGCCUGCCCUAUUGCUGAAGGUCUGGGUGAGGCCUGUGAACUCUGGUGCAGAAGGACCCCUGUGUCCUGGUGUCCAGGAGCCCAAACCACUCCCCCAAACCCACUUCCUGACCUUCUUCCCCAAAUGUCCAUUAGGUGUGGCUGCCCUGGGAACCCCAAAGCACAGACCUGUAUCCUCCAGAGCUCACCUGUGUGCGUGCGCACGCAGGCCUGAUGUGAAACAAUAAAAGAUUCUGCAUUUACUCUUGC